rnacentral:rRNA from 1 species
GACGAACGCUGGCGGCGUGCUUAACACAUGCAAGUCGAACGGAAAGGCCCUGCUUUUGUGGGGUGCUCGAGUGGCGAACGGGUGAGUAACACGUGAGUAACCUGCCCUUGACUUUGGGAUAACUUCAGGAAACUGGGGCUAAUACCGGAUAGGAGCUCCUGCUGCAUGGUGGGGGUUGGAAAGUUUCGGCGGUUGGGGAUGGACUCGCGGCUUAUCAGCUUGUUGGUGGGGUAGUGGCUUACCAAGGCUUUGACGGGUAGCCGGCCUGGGAGGGUGACCGGCCAAAUUGGGACUGGGAUACGGCCCAGACUCCUACGGGAGGCAGCAGUGGGGAAUAUUGCACAAUGGGCGGAAGCCUGAGGCAGCACCGCCGCGUGCGGGAUGACGGCCUUCGGGUUGUAAACCGCUUUCGCCUGUGACGAAGCGUGAGUGACGGUAAUGGGUAAAGAAGCACCGGCUAACUACGUG